AUUGAACGCUGGCGGCAUGCUUUACACAUGCGAGUCGAACGGUAACAGGCCUUCGGGUGCUGACGAGUGGCGAACGGGUGAGUAAUGCAUCGGAACGUGCCCAGAGGUGGGGGAUAACGCAGCGAAAGCUGUGCUAAUACCGCAUGUGAUCUGAGGAUGAAAGCGGGGGACCAGGCAGCAAUGUUUGGCCUCGCGCCUUUGGAGCGGCCGAUGUCAGAUUAGGUAGUUGGUGGGGUAAAGGCCUACCAAGCCGACGAUCUGUAGCUGGUCUGAGAGGACGACCAGCCACACUGGGACUGAGACACGGCCCAGACUCCUACGGGAGGCAGCAGUGGGGAAUUUUGGACAAUGGGCGCAAGCCUGAUCCAGCAAUGCCGCGUGCGGGAAGAAGGCCUUCGGGUUGUAAACCGCUUUUGUACGGAACGAAAAGGCUCUGGCUAAUACCUGGGGCUGAUGACGGUACCGUAAGAAUAAGCACCGGCUAACUACGU
rnacentral:rRNA from 1 species